AACGCUGGCGGCGUGCCUAACACAUGCAAGUCGCACGAGAAAGGCGAUUUCGGUCCUGAGUAAAGUGGCGCACGGGUGAGUAACACGUGACUAAUCUACCCUCGAGUGGGGAAUAACCUAGGGAAACCUGGGCUAAUACCGCAUAACACUUACGAGUCAAAGCAGCAAUGCGCUUGGGGAGGAGGUCGCGGCAGAUUAGCUAGUUGGCGGGGUAAUGGCCCACCAAGGCGAUGAUCUGUAUCCGGCCUGAGAGGGCGCACGGACACACUGGAACUGAAACACGGUCCAGACUCCUACGGGAGGCAGCAGUGGGGAAUUUUGCGCAAUGGGGGAAACCCUGACGCAGCAACGCCGCGUGGAGGAUGAAGUCUCUUGGGACGUAAACUCCUUUCGAUAGGGACGAUAAUGACGGUACCUAUAGAAGAAGCCCCGGCUA
rnacentral:rRNA from 1 species